rnacentral:rRNA from 1 species
GUUUGAUACCCCGAAACUACGUGAGCUACUUCAAGGACAGCCUAUUAAUAGGGCUAACCCAUCUCUGUGGCAAAAGCGUGGGAAGAACUUUGAGUAGAGGUGACAAACCUACCGAACCUAGUUAUAGCUGGUUGUCCAAGAAAUGAAUAAAAGUUCAGCCUCUAAGCUUCUCCUUUCACCUGAACUUAACCCCUUUAGAUGUAUUAAAGAAACUAAGAAAGUUAGUCAAAGGAGGUACAGCUCCUUUGAAUCAAGACACAACUUUAACAGACGGGUAAAGAUCAUAAUAACCAAAGCUAGACAUUCUGGUGGGCCUAAAAGCAGUCAUCCCUUAGAAAGCGUUAAAGCUCAAACAUAUUACUUAUACCUUCUUAUCCUGAUCAUAAAUCUCACCCCCCUAACCAUACUGGACCCUCCCAUGCCCCCAUGGGUGUGAUUAUGCUAAUAUGAGUAAUAAGAGAGCCCGCCUCUCUCCCUGCACACGUGUACCUCGGAACAGACAACCCACCGACCAUUAACGACCCCAAACAAAGAGGGCAAUAAAUCAUAAACUAAAAUCAAGUAAAACAUUUAAAAAUUAACCGUUAACCCCACACAGGUGUACCCCAAGGAAAGACCUAAAGAAAGAGAAGGAACUCGGCAAACACAUAAAGUCUCGCCUGUUUACCAAAAACAUCGCCUCUUGUACCCCCC